rnacentral:rRNA from 1 species
GUAAUACGAAGGGUGCAAACGUUGCUCGGAAUUAUUGGGCGUAAAGCGCACGUAGGCGGCAUCGCAAGUCGGAUGUGAAAUCUUAUGGCUUAACCAUAAAAGUGCAUCCGAAACUGCAGUGCUUGAGUACUUAAGAGGAUCGCGGAAUUCCCGGUGUAGAGGUGAAAUUCGUAGAUAUCGGGAGGAACACCAGUGGCGAAGGCGGCGAUCUGGGAAGAUACUGACGCUGAGGUGCGAAAGCGUGGGGAGCAAACAGG